rnacentral:rRNA from 1 species
UUGACGACCCGAACUAUGGCGGGAAGUGGCAGACUGCUCAGUAACACGUAGUCAACCUACCCUUGGGACGGGGACAACCUCGGGAAACUGAGGCUAAUCCCCGAUAGGUGAGGGACGCUGGAAUGCCUCCUCGCCCAAAGCUCCGGCGCCCAAGGAUGGGACUGCGGUCUAUCAGGCUGUUGGUGGUGUAACGGACCACCAAACCUACGACGGGUACGGGCGAUGGGAGUCGGAGCCCGGAGAUGGGGACUGAGACAAGGCCCCAGGCCCUACGGGGCGCAGCAGGCGCGAAAACUCCGCAAUGCGCGCAAGCGUGACGGGGGAAUCCCAAGUGCCGUUGGUCUUAUGAUCGACGGUUUUUAGGAAGUCUAAGAAGCUUCCAGAAUAAGGGCUGGGCAAGACUGGUGCCAGCCGCCGCGGUAACACCAGCAGCCCAAGUGGUGACCACGAUUAUUGGGCCUAAAGCGCUCGUAGCCGGAUCAGCAAGUCCCUUGUGAAAUCGGGCCGCCUAACGGUUCGGCGUGCAAGGGAUACUGUUGGUCUUGAGGCCGGGAGAGGUCGGAGGUACUCCUGGGGUAGCGGUGAAAUGCUCUAAUCCUAGGGGGACCACCAGUGGCGAAGGCGUCCGACCAGAACGGACCUGACGGUGAGGGGCGAAGGCUAGGGGAGCGAACGGGAUUAGAUACCCCGGUAGUCCUAGCUGUAAAGCAUGCGGGCCAGGUGUCUAGCGCUCCUUGAGGGCGCUAGGU